CCAGUAUCUCCUGCCGAGCUGCUCUGUUCCCGGCUUAGAGGACCAGGAGAAGGGGGAGCUGGAGGCUGGAGCCUGUAACACCAUGGCUCGUCUCGCUCUGGAUGGUGGUGGCAACAGAGAUGGCAGCGCGGCUGAAGUCUUAGGAGGGCGGCCUGAGCGGUAGGAGGGUAGUCUGAGCAGUAGGAGGGGGGCUGGAGCAGUAAGAUGGCGGCCGGAGCGCUAGGCGGGAGGCUGGAGCAGUAAGAUGGCAGCCGGAGCGGUAGGGGGGUGGCUGGCAGCCGGAGCGGUAGGGGGGUGGCUGGCAGCUGGAGCUGCUCUUGACCAGCUAGAGGUCUAGGAGAAGGUGGGGACCAUGCCCAAUGCUGGCGGCUGGAGCCUUGGCCCUGGCGGCUCGCCUGGCUGCGGUUGGUGGUGGCGACGGAGACUGCAUCUCUGUCAAGUAGUAGAAAGGUGGCAGGGUUUUUCUGGCAUUGUCUGCCCAGCUACUCCAAGCCAGGCUGAUGAAGGAGGAGUCCCCUGUGGUGACUGGAGGUUGGAGCCUGAAGAUGGCACAGCUCUGUGAUUCAUCUCCUGCUGUUGUGGCGGCCACGGUGAUGGAGACGGCAGCUCAACAGGAGCGGUAGGAGGGUACCCGUGGAGGCCAAGUGAUUAAUUAGCUCUCAGGACUGCUGUGUCCAGAGUUGAUUCCUUCUGGUGGGUUCGUGGUGUUGCUGACUUGAAGAAUGAAGCCGCCGACCUUCACGAGCGCUGAUUGGUGUGUUUUACAGAGCAUGGAUUGGUGCGUUUUACAGAGCGCUGAUUGGUACAUUUCACAGAACUCGUGAGACAGUCGCAGGUGGCAUGAUUUGAUUUGUGUGAAGGCAAUGAAAUGAUACACAGAUACACCGAAGCCUCCCAAAAGAAUCCUGGUUCCAAGAUUCAAGAAGAUGGAUUAAUGUUUUUCCAUUAAUUGUUGGAAUUUAUGCCAUUUUUUUACUAUGUGCCAUCAAUUUUAAAGCACUUCUGAAAAGAGAUAACAAUCUACAAUAGCUGGCAUUUUAAAUUCAUAAAAAUAUAGUAUUUUCUUCUAUUUUUAUACAUUUAUGAUGCAUUAUUUCUUAUUUCCCAGGAAUUUUACUACCUUUGUUUUGAAUGAUUAAAAAGGAAACAUAGCACCUUUUUUCAACACAAAAAAAAAAAAAAAAAAAAAAAAA
rnacentral:lncRNA from 1 species